rnacentral:rRNA from 1 species
UACGUAGGGUCCGGAGCGUUGUCCGGAAUUAUUGGGCGUAAAGAGCUCGUAGGCGGUCUGUCGCGUCGGUCGUGAAAACUUGGGGCUUAACCCUGAGCUUGCAGUGGGUACGGGCAGACUAGAGUGCGGUAGGGGAGACUGGAAUUCCUGGUGUAGCGGUGAAAUGCGCAGAUAUCAGGAGGAACACCGGUGGCGAAGGCGGGUCUCUGGGCCGUAACUGACGCUGAGGAGCGAAAGCAUGGGGAGCGAACAGG